CUGUGCCUCAAUGUGCCUCGUGCUGCGUUAUCUGCCUAGCAUCUGGGGCGCAACCCCGGGCCCAUUUGUCAGCUCGAUCCCCUUCGUCAAAUCGUUGCCUGGCAUACGAACGGAUCUCUCUCUCCUUUCUUUGCCAGCUCUAUUCCCUUGAUCGGUCGAUCCCCUUUCUUUCCUACUGCAGAUCUCUAACCAGACCUUCCCCUUCAUUCCCUCUUCCCCUUCUCCAAUCCUCAGCACGCCAGACCUCCCCCCCUGCCACUACCACCAUGGAUCCCCCAUCCGCCAUUGCUCCAGUAUGCGCGCCCGGUUGUGGGCAGCGAUUAGAAGAACCCCUUUUCCGCUGCUACUGUGGUGAUCCUGCUUGGUCCGUAACCUCAGUGACGCACCGGAACCUGGCCGCAAGUUCUACAUGUGCCGCAAGGGGGGGAGGGGCUGCAAGCUUUGGAUUUGGGAGGAUGUAAUUUUUCGAUUUGUGGAUGAAAUGGUUCGGUACUGCAGCGCCUCAACGCAUGACUGUCUCCAUGAACAACUUUCUAUGGCUCGUGAAGCGUUGGCCGAGAAUGAGGAGAAGCUUGCUAGGCUCUUCCAAGAAGCUGAGGCUAUGGAGGCCAAAAUGGUACAAAAACUCCAAGAUUUGGAAGUGAAGUUGCAAGAGUCUCAGGAACCGGUUGGAAUCUUGGUUGUGGUCUUUGCAUUUGUCUAUUGGUGUGUGAUGAACUAUCCUAAUUGAUUGAGAUGGUGGUGGUCUGCGCCUCUGUCUGUUUUGAACCCAACUCCCUAUGUGUUUAGUUUAGUUGUGUUUUCCACUAUCCUAAUUCGGUAUGGUUAGUUUAGUUGUGUUUAGUAUCAGUAGCAGUGUUGUAGCCAUGAUUAGGCAGAAUGGUGUAAUGUACUCGUAAAUGGUGAACUCUUGUUGUGUUUCGGUGCUUUGACUGAUGUAGUAGCCUUUUUUGUAAAAUGUGGUGUAUUUGAAUAUUCAACUCCACUUCAGUACAUGUUUGAUGUGAUUGUAUAACAUGCCAGCCUUUUGGCCCCCCUCCUACUCUAUGGUACUGGUUUUGGUGCAGGGGUAGGGCAUGUUACCCAAUGAAAAGCUUUACUAGUUAUUCCUUCGUGUCACUUCUAGUUUUUUCUCUGCUCCAUUCUUUUAUGCUUCUUGGCACUGGCUUCUUGCUCAUUUCUUGCUCGGCUACUGGAGAGAGGCUGCUUCUGGUGGGCUAGUGCUUGCUUCAAGUUGCUGCUCCUGGUGGGCUAAGUGAAGACUUUUGGUGAGUAACCACUGUUGGUACAAGUACUUUUGAAACCUCUUGGAGUCUUUUUUCCCUAGAAGCUUAGUUUUCUGAUGUUUUGAUUUCAGUCACUUUCUCAAGUAGAUCACUGCACAUGUUUUGUGACAGAUCUGUUUCCUGGAGGGUCAGGACCCGUCCUUUUUGUUUGUUUCUUCCUUCUUUGGAAAGUACAUCUUCUUCUUUUUUACUAGUAUACAUCUUAUUUGAAAGCAGCCCUGUUUUCAUGUUUUUUAUGGUGUUGUUGGACCUCCACAUAGGGUUUGAUAUUUUUCUCUUACAUGUGCUCAAAUUAUCUCACCUCUGAAAUCAGCUCUAAUCCAUGUGGUGAUCAAUGUUUGUUUUUGUAUGGUACUGGAGGCAUGGAUGGGCACCGGGAACCAUCAGCUAGUACAGAUUCAGUGGGGCGAGGGAACAAGAUGCCAGAGUAUGAAGAUGAAAGUAGUGAAGAAUGGGGGAAUGAUGAAGAUGCUGCAGAAAUCAAGGCAGGAAAGAACUGGAGCAGUGCUCGCAAAGUUAAUAUGAUUGUUUCAAAAUUUGGUGAGUUGAAGAAGAAUCUGGUCAGGAACAUUGGAUUUGGAGGUAUAUUGGACCUACCAUUGUUCAAUAAGGUGGAUCGCAAGUUCACCAUCUGGAUUCUUAGUAGGAUUGACUGUCUGAGGUGGGUGAUUGUGGUAAAUGGGGAGGAUCAGACUGAUAUUGUUGACAUGGAUGUGCAAAGAAUCCUUGGAAUACCGUGUGGCAGCAGGGCUGUUAGUGCUCUGAACUCCAACGAACUUGUUAUGCAGUUCGAGUUUCGUAGUCUCAAGUCAGCGGAGUUAGUUCUAAGUAAGGAUUACCCUGAUGGUAUGGACAAAAUUGAGACGGACCGGUCAAGGUGGCCUUUGUUGUCUUUGUUAUUGGCACAUUCUUAGCACCUACACCCAAGUACAAUGCAGUCAACCCAGAUUUGUUUGGCUCUUUAGUCAGCCCUGAUGAGAUAAACCAGUUCAAUUGGGCAGCAUAUGUGGUAGAUCAUAUAAUUCAGGCUGCCGCAAAGGUUCAGGAAGAUCUAUGUUCAAAGCGUGAUGUUUCAAACAUCACCGGUUGGUCAUUGCUAAUCCAGGAUCUUUACAAGUUAUCGAGACCAAUAUGAUAGCCGAUGAACUCAGUGGUUGUAAUAUCCUACUUGGUACUCAGAGCUUGUAUUUAAAAAAUAAUCUUCUUUUCUUAGAUAUUUACGGAUGUGAUUAUAGAGCUUUGAUUUAUGUUGUCUCCUCAGGCAGUUCCAUCCGAAGGGAAUAUUUCUCUACGGCCAAAGGAUCUCUAUAAUCGUUAGACACGACGUAAACGAGAAUUACUGAAGAGACUUCUCCUAUAGGAUACGGUCUGAUUGGUUCUCUGCCACCGGCAUCCGGCUCACGCCAGGCAUCCAGGCAACCCACGCUGGCUAGGCUCCCAAGAUGCAGGGUCGAGUUGUUUGGCUCACAUUUUCCCACAGCUAGGCCAACUAGAGCAACUAAGGCUAUGAUUGGUAGGGUGGCUAAAGGGUUGGACAGGCUUGUGUAAUGCAACCAUAGAUUGUUUGGUUCCCUGGUCAAGGCUCUAACCCUGGCUCCAGCAAUGCAAAAAGGGGGUCCGAGCCUGGCUUCCUGGAAACGAGAUUCAUGAGCAUUUCUAGCAA